CAGGCACGGACCCCCAAGAGAACACUGCAUUGACCUGAGGUCAUGGAGAAGCUUCCAAAAUGGAAUGACAGAACUUGGAUUGUGGGUGUGCAGUUUGAAUAGAGCUCUGUCAUCUGUGAGUUGCUGUGGACACACCCUUGCUCCUCAGAUCCUCGUGCAGUUAACCAAGUGAAUCUCAAGAGCACUGAGCCUUUUAAAGCACUUUCAAAGCACUUCCUACUGCUGUCAAAGCUUAGAUCAAACAGGUUUUUAAGAGGUCCUGAGAGCCACAGGAUGAUGUCCCCAUGGGCAGAGAGCACACAUGCAGCUCUGAGGGCAGUGAAGAGCAGCUGCAGGUUGGAUGGCAGCCUGUAACCUUUACAAGUGCCUGGAUUGUUCUGGCUGCAGGUUUGGUGGCUCGUUCAGAGCAGCAGUGAAUGCCCCUGUCAGGCUGGAAGACAGCAAUAUGACACGGGAUGCACAAAUUGUCUGACUUGCUGAGGUCCAGAACUCUUAGUCACAAUCCUGAAUGCCACUCAUGGGUCCAAUCAGACUUAGCAGUUUUCAAAAUUAUUACUGUGGAAAUAAUUUAGUUUUGAGUUGACUGUGGAAUUGACAAAAAAAGAAAAAGAAAAAAAAGAGUGCUUUGGGUUGAUGAGAAACUGAAGUACUGCCCUUUUCUCACACACACAAAAAUUUCUGUGUCAGGCCAAACAAAAUGUUUUUGUUUGUUUGCAGGGCUAUUUCCCUUCUAAUUUUCUAUUUGUUUAUUUGUAAUUAGGUUCAGGUAGAUUUGGUUUCAGUCUAUCAUUUACAAGUGCAAACAAGAAAAACGUCUCCAGCAGACUGGUCAGUCUUGCAAAAUCACUCUGUGUCAAGGAA